GUUGGCUUCAGAGGGAGACAGAGGUGGUGAGUGGGAGCCCUGCCUGACUCCUUGUGCUCAGACCUGAGUCUGGGGUCAGUGAGGCUGAAGCUCGAGUGUGGGCCCUAAGUCCAGAUGCCCGCCCUUCUGCUGCCUCUGGGAGAAAGCAAGCGCUGCCGGCCCCACUGCAAGCCACACCAGCCCCUCCCUGGGGCCCGCCUUACCAAAGGUUCCAACUCGGGAAACAGCAACAGGAGUAUUUUUCAGGGACCUCAUGGGCCACUGCCUAGCGGAGCCCAGAGGGUCGUGUGCUGCAGUAUUGCCGUGACUGGGGCCAGGUUCUCCCUCCACCCACGUGUCCCUUACCUGAGAGCACGCUCUGGAUGCGGUCAUAAUGAAGGAAGUUGUAUGUGCUGCUGGUGAGGCUAGCCUCGUCUCUGGGCAGCGUCUCCUUCAGGUGGACUUCCAGCCCAUUCAGCGACGCCAGGCUGCUGUGGUACUGCAGAGGGGCCAGGAGUGGGUCACAGGUCGGCACACUUAGUUGAAAGGACUUCCCUAGGUGGAGCUGACUGGCUUGGAACUCACUACGAAGACCAGGCCGGUCUAACUGUGCAAAGCCUUCUGCCUCUGCCUCCUGACUGCUUGGAUUAUAGGUGUGCACCACCCUGCCCCAGCCCCAUCUCUUCAUGUGUUAUGUGGUGUACAUGCAGCUCAGAGGAGGACAUCAGACCCCUUGACAGACCCCCUGCUGUUACAGGCAGCUGUGAGCUGUCCACUGCACUCAGGGCCUGGGAACAUCAGCAAGCGCUCUGAACCCCUGAGCCAUCUCUCCAACUCUGGGAUUGUCUGCUUUAGCAAUAAAGGUGGCCUGGUGUUCCAGUGUUUCCCAACACCAGCA